rnacentral:rRNA from 1 species
AGAGUUUGAUCAUGGCUCAGGACUAACGCUGGCGGCGUGCCUAACACAUGCAAGUCGAGCGGGGUAGCAAUACCCAGCGGCAGACGGGUGAGUAACGCGUGGUCAACCUUCCCGACAGUGGGGGAUAACUAGCCGAAAGGUUAGCUAAUACCGCAUACGAUCUAUGAGAGGCAUCUCUUAUAGAUGAAAGGAGCAAUCCGCUUUCGGACGGGACCGCGUCCCAUUAGCUAGAUGGUGGGGUAAUGGCCUACCAUGGCGACGAUGGGUAGCUGGUUUGAGAGAGCGACCAGCCACACUGGGACUGAGAAACGGCCCAGACUCCUACGGGAGGCAGCAGUGAGGAAUUUUCCGCAAUGGGCGAAAGCCUGACGGAGCGACGCCGCAUGUGGGAAGAAGGCCUUCGGGUCGUAAACCACUGUCGAAGGGGACGAUAAUGACGGUACCCUUGGAGGAAGCCCCGGCUAACUACGUGCCAGCAGCCGCGGUAAUAC